AGCCUUUCACGUUCAUAUAUAGACUUAAUAAACUUCUCAUUGGGUGUUUUGCUCUUCGUUUUAACUAACCUUAACCUUCUAAAUUCCUUCAUGGAUGUUCUUGCAUGAAAGAAACAAUAUGGAUUCCUAUAUAUAUACUGAUAAAAAAUAUACAACUGAUCGAUCAAGUAUUUUCUCACUAUUUGCAUAUGCAUGCUAUUUUGAUACUGUUGUACGUUUGCUUCUACUGACCUUUGUGGAGUUCAUAAACAUCCCUACACAACCCUUAAAACAUUUAUAGCCAGGCAUCUAAUACUUUUCAUUCGCCACUACCCUAGCCAUACUAAUUCGCCACUUGUGCCGUGAAAAAUGGUUUCAAAGAGCAGCCACGUGCGUGGAAUGACAUGGACUGAAGACCCGUUUGAAAGAUCCGCUCUGGAUAAUAAUACUUUUGGGAUUAUUAUUACUAUUAUUAUUAAUUACUAUUAUUAUUAUUCUUGAAAUAACUUUUGACCAUCUAAAUUUUAUUUUAAGCGCUUUGAUAA